AUGAACGCUGGCGGCGUGCCUAACACAUGCAAGUCGAGCGGCAGCGAGGGGUGCUUGCACCCUGUCGGCGAGCGGCGGACGGCUGAGUAACGCGUGGGAACGUGCCCCAAAGUGAGGAAUAACUGCCCGAAAGGGUAGCUAAUACCGCAUAUUAUCUUCGGAUCAAAGGAUUUAUCCGCUUUGGGAGCGGCUCGCGUCGGAUUAGGUAGUUGGUGAGGUAAUGGCUCACCAAGCCGACGAUCCGUAGCUGGUCUGAGAGGAUGACCAGCCAGACUGGAACUGAGACACGGUCCAGACUCCUACGAGAAGCAGCAGUGAGGAAUCUUCCACAAUGGGCGAAAGCCUGAUGGAGCAACGCCGCGUGCAGGACGAAGGCCUUCGGGUUGUAAACUGCUUUUAUAAGUGAGGAAUAUGACGGUAACUUAUGAAUAAGGAUCGGCUAACUACGUG
rnacentral:rRNA from 1 species